rnacentral:rRNA from 1 species
UACGGAAGGGGCGAGCGUUGUUCGGAAUCAUUGGGCGUAAAGGGCGCGUAGGUGGUUUUGUAUGUCUACCGUGAAAGCGUACGGCUCAACCGUAUUUUGUCGGUAGAAACUGCAGGACUUGAGGCUGGGAGGGGCUGGCGGAAUUCCCUGUGUAGCGGUGAAAUGCGUAGAGAUGGGGGAGAACACUCGUGGCGAAGGCGGCCAGCUAGACCAGUUCUGACACUGAGGCGCGAUAGCGUGGGGAGCAAACAGG